AUCAACAAAAAUACGCGCUUCUUUUUCCCUUUUUUUUCUUUUCCCCUGACCCACCCCCUCCCACUCCAAAAUAAAACAUUAACCGUCGGUCAAAACACACACAUUUCUGAUUACUUCCGAAGAGUAAAAGAAUGAGAUCUGCUUAUCACCAACCCGUUGCAUAAGUGUGUGGGAGAAGAAAAGAUGGUUCACUUAUGUCGGCAUCCAUCUUAGAGAUUCUUCUCAAGAUCACUGUCGGUGUUAUUAAGCGAGGAGAAGCGACCAUCUAUCGCUUCUUGCUUCACACUUUAAGCAAAGUGGGACCUUGUCGCUUUUUCUUGAUUCGCAUUUCCGGAAACACUGAUCAUAUAAAGGUAUGUCUUCUUAGUUUUAGGUAUCUGAUUGAUGUUGGAUAUGGAUUCGAAAAUGUUAAUCAGCAGCGAAUUUUGAAAACAAAUGAGCCAUUUGUAUUAGCCAACCAAGCAUCAGAAAUAUUUUAUGCUAAUGAUCAUUCUAACGAAGGCUGGCAUGUUGUUUGAAAGUUUUGUCCUCGUGAUUCUUUUGACGUGCAAAAAAGGAUGUUGAGUUAAAGGAGUUAGAUAAUUCUACACAGAUGAAAAAGAAAAGAAUUCUUGAUGUUUUGUAAAACUCCACUAUUCUAUUUCCUAUUUUGAGUCCUGAAGGUUUGUAAAACUACAAUGUUCUGCUUUCUAUUUUGAACCAUGUGAGAAUGCAUAAUAGUCGUUUAAUGGAUUAAGCUGCUUCAUGUCCUUAUGUUUCUUUGUAUCCAUUUGAAAAUACUAAUAGACUGUCUGUGAUUAUCCAGGCUUUAAGUAUGAAUUCAGGCAAUAGAACAACUGAUAAAAAAUGACCCUUCACAGAUGAGAUUAUAUUUUAUAUCAAAUUGUUUGUAUUGCAGUAUAUUUUUUGUUCGACUGUCAGGCCUUGAAGAAUAUCUUGAUUAUUUGGGAUGAUGCUCGUCUUAUAAAGAACAUCUUCAAUAAGGCAUGCUAUGUAUCGUGAGAAACUAAUCAGCCGUUCUUUGGCCAUUUCUACUUCUUCAUUCUAUUUCUUUAUCUUCUUUCUUUAUGCUAUUUUUUUUUUGCUCAUCUUUCUCUAUAGGACUACCUCGCAGGGAUGAGGUUUUAUUUAUUUUGAAUUAUCUUUAUUUAUGAUUUGAGUGUUGAAAUUGCAACUUCUGCGCUAAUUUUUUUCUUAUUGCCUGCAGAUUAUUCUUCUGGCUUUCAAUUCACCUGUAAGGAGGCUUAUGUAAAGUUCCUUUGACGAAUCUACUUAUUCAUAUGAUGUUGUAUGUAUUUAUGUGAUGUUAGAGAAUGAGUUAUCUGGUUAAGCAAGAUGUAUGUGGGUAGUUUAUUUCUGUUUUAUCUUGUGUUGAUUUCUUGACACAGUAGGCAGAUUCACCAAUCAUGAGUAACGACAAGCACCACAAAUGGUACAUUAUUAAAUCUAAUAUGUGCCGAAAAACUCCACCUCUCAUUGUGACCUCCAUAUUCAUUUUGUCUGUUAACCUUUGCUGAUCUACAUAAUAUCUCCACCUGGAAUCCUCAUUCAACUACUUAACUAUUGUUUACUUCGGGGUCCAAGUCCUAUUCAUACUUAUUACCUAAUUUAGUGUUCUCCAUGUGCUUUUGUUCCAAAGUAUAAUAAUGUGCCAAUUAACUUGUUUUCAAAUUGAGUGUGGUUAAAGGUGCUAUUGGGAUGAAGGGCACAACAAAAAGGAAGGGGGAAGCAACAAAAGUAAGCAAAUGACAUCGUCUCUGGGUACUUGAUUACAGCUUGGUGAUACUCAUUCCAUGCCAGGACAGUUGGAUCGGUCGACGAGUGAAAAUACACUAGGAAGCUUUAUGAGAUGCAGAUCUGAGAGUCGCAGAGACUUGCAGUGAUGCCUCCGAAGAAGGCAACGGCUGCCCAGAAGGGCAAGGCGGUGGUAGGAGAGACUAGUCAGGUACAGAGAGUUACCCGGGCUCGUGCUCAGGAUUUGCCCGAUGUUGUGCCCCAGUCGGAGGGUUCUGCUACACCACCGGAGGAGCCUGGAGCAGGUCCAUCAUUAGCUCCAGACGCUCCAGCGCCCGAGCCUCCAGCUCCUCAGCCAGGGGCGGAGGAUAGGACGUUGAGGGAGGUCGUACAGUUGUUGACGACUUUGGUGGCGGGACAGACUCGCAGUCCAGUUGUCCUUAUGGUACAAAUAGUCGGUUUGGUGACUCUUCAGCAUAGGACUCCUAUUCAACUGUCUUGGAGAGCUCCGUUGUUUCGGAGUUUCGACUUUUGGUACAAAUCUUAUGAUGUAUAUAUAUAUAUGUUUAUCCAGGGGUACGACGGGGCCUUGUCCCGUCAUAUUUCACCAUCGAUACUCUUAGAGGUCUGUAGACAUAUGUGUGGGUUGUGUAUAAGUUCUGUUCAGUUGUGUCUAUAUGAUGUGUUAUGAUAUGAUGUUCGUCUGUAGUGGCAGCCUUGUCGGCUUACAUAUGAUAUUGAUAUGUCGUAGCAGCCUUGUCGGCUUGCGUAUCGUUUUAUGAUUUGAUUAGUUGUGACUCCUCAGAAGACAGUUUAUCUGGAUAUAUAUACAUGACGACAUUAUGAACCUUGGAGUUCUUUUGCAAGUUUCCAUAUUAUUCUUAGAUUCAGUCUGAUUAUAUCCAACUGGUAAGUAUACGAGUGUCCAGGUCGGGCACUAGUCAUGGCCCACGGGGUUGGGUCGUGACAAAAGUGGUAUAAGAGUGGUUCAUCCUCAGAGUGUCUAUAGACCGUGUCUAGUAGAGUCUUGUUUAUCGGUGUGUUGUGCACCACAUCUAUAAAUAGGAAGCUACAGGACAUUUAGGAUGUUACCUUUCUUUCAUAUCUAAGAUUGUGCGAUAUAGCCUAGCCAUAGGAAACAAAAUUCCUUAUACUAACGGUUGAUUUCAGCUGAAGAACGGCAUCGACAGAAGAAAGUGGCUGAUGAUAUUGGAAGUUACAAAGUACACAGGUAAGCAACGGUGCGAAAGAUGCAUGUCGGAUAAGGUAAGAAUAUUGAAGUAUGAUUGAAAUGUAAAGUUGAAGAAUGAAAAUGAAGGUAGAUAGGAAGGUAUAACAGGAUAGAUCAUUAAAGGAUCAGGUACGUCUCGAGGUGUGAUAUGUGAGGUAAGUUUCGACAUCUUUAUACUUUUACUUGAAAUUAGGAGCCUUGUGUGGCCAUGAUAUGAUAUGAUACAUACGUAUAUAUGUUGGCCCUGUGAGUCAUUGUUGGUAUUUCCUGCGUGCAGGUUCUAGGAUAGUAAGAAAUACAUAGGAAACUCUGCCAAAAUUUUCCUAGAAAUAAAAAGAGGAUGAGAUAUAAGUUUGUAAUAUGUCCUGAAAAGAUAUGUCAACAGUAAUAAUAGCAUUUGACUAAGUUGCAAGUCUGACUUCGAGAAAUAAAGUUAACUAUUGAAUUGAUAGCAAUAGUAAGUAUGAGGUCGAUAUCUAUAGGGUAAAUUUAUCAUGUUGGAUUAAAGCUUUAAGAGAUACCCUCCAUGUCAUCCGUAAGAGGCAUCAUUCUUAUUUGGGAAAUUUUAUUUCGAAGAAGCAUAUAUGAGCAGCAAAGUUUGGAAUUCAUUUGAAUGGACCAGGAUACUUUCCAGCCACAUGUCACCUUAGGAGAGGCUCAUGUUGAAGAGCAAAAACGUCCACAAUUAAGUUUCACUUUUAUUUGAAGAGUACAAAGCAUACAACAAGUAGUUUAUGAACUAAAUAGUUCAUUCAUGACCCAAGAAUAAAUCUGGAAGUGAACUAUGUGAAUCAAGCAUUAGAAGUCCCGUGAUGCUUGUCGGAUUCUUGUUCUUCUUCUUGUGGUGGUUUUGGAAGAUGCUUCAUGGUGACGUAAUUUUGGAGUUGGAGCGUUAUUGUGUUCUUGAGGUAACAUUUCAUCAUAUCUUUAUGUCCUUGAGUUUAUUAGUUCUUAAUCAACUAAUUGGAGAUGGAAUUUGUAGAAGGAAAACUCAAACUUGUGGGCUGUCUUAGAUCAUAUGUUUCAUGCGUUGUUGAUGAAAUGCUAGCAUAAAUUGGAAAGAGCUUGUGACACUAAGGGAUGAUGUAGAAAAAGGUGGCAAAUCUUAACAGAACAUUAUAUUGAGGUAUCGAGUGAACUGAUAAGUAGAGAUAAAUUACGACGAGUUUGCAGUUAAAAGGAGUAAUAGUAUGAUUGAGAUAAAAGUACGAAGGAGGAAGAAUUACGACAAAUAUGACGAUAUUGAUAAGACAGCUUGCGAGACAGUAAGGAUAAGAUUGAUCCGAAGGGGUGAAAGGUUAUGUACGCCUACUCCACAGAGUGUAAUUAAAUCAUAGUAAGAAUCGCGAAUAAGGUUAAGAAGUGUUACACUAUUGGAUUGAUUACGAACAGGAUAUUACGUGAAUAUAAUAAGGAUUGUUAUAAAAAUGAGUAAAGCCUAGCGAGGAAGUGGCUAAAAGAUAUGACGUGAUCUAUGCGACUAAAGUGUAAAGGAAAAUGUGAAAUCGGCAAGGUAUGGAAAGAAUGAAAAAGACUUAUAAGGUUCUAUAGGGAAAGUUCAGAAUAAAGAUUAUGCGAUAACGGGAACGAAAGCGAGCACAAAAAAAAAAGGAAAAAGGAGUUAAUUAAAAGAAGGAAAUAAGAAGGAAGCGAGCCAGACAAUAGUGCAGUAAUAGGUUAUAACAUGUAUGGCCGAGGACACGAGUAAUAUAAGUGGCGGAACAGUGAAUGACUAAACGAAAGAAAGAUGAGCAACGAAGCAGAAUGAGUGCCAGAAAUGACUGGGAUGGUAAGAACAAAUAGGGAUGAACAAAAUAUAUUUUGAGAAUGAGGAAGGGAUUAUGCAGAGGUAGUGUUUUCCGAAGGAUAUAAUGGUAGCGUAUGAUUUCGUGUGCAUAGAAUAAAAGAUGGGUAUAGACUGGAGAAAUGAUAAGAAAAUUCUAAAGGAAGCACCCAAGAUAGAUGCAAUUAAUUGAAUAUAGGUAUAGAACGAAAGGUAAAUAUAUAACUACGAGCUUAAAAGUAUAGCACAACGGUGAGGUUAUAAGAUGAGAUUGUCAUUUAGAUGAACUCGAUAUGAAUUUGAGUAAGUUAGAAGUCAGUUUUGGGUACACCACAAGGGUGUAAGAGCAUAAGGCAUAAAGGAGUACUGCGUGUAUAUGACUUCACCUCGAAAAUAGUGAAAUCCUUAAACGACAAGGAUGGUAGGCCUAAGGAACAAAUAAUGUAUUGUAUAUUUAUUAGAGGAAACAGAUGAUAUCCGUUGGGAUAAAGAUAAUACUACAAGAGAACUUUGGACACUUAUCAUCGGAACAUAAGUGCUAACCAAUUGAGCGUUUGGAACGACUAUAAGUCCUGAUUAAUUACGAAUUGGAGUAAGUGGAAUGUGGCCUUAGAUGAGUUCCUACAUGGGUUGCAUUACUCGAGUAUAGAUGGUUAGAUGAGAUUUGUACUGUACAUAGAAAAGUUCUCAUCGCCUCGUGAUUGUGUUAAGGUUUUGUACAUGGGUAAUCUAAGUUAUAGAUGAUAAAGAAUAGACAUGGAUAUGGUGCAGUAUACCAAAUGUAUUGGAAAAAGAAUCAUAUGAAUUUGAAAAUUGGAAAUGGGGACAUAGAGCAGAAUAGAAAUAGAUAAUGAUAUAAGUACACCCUAAAAGGGGGGAAGCGGAUAAGAGAAAUACAAGUGUAAGGUGAAAACAAUUGGUACUGCAAAAUAUUUGAUAUGGAUGCUUAAACUUUAAGUGAGAUCCCUCUCUGGGACAAAUCUGAAAGCCAGCAACGAAUGGAUAGAAGUCAGGAAGGUAUUUGAGAUGGUGCGGAGAAGCGUCGGUAAAAAUCUUAAAUGAUAUGGCAUUACAAAGUGGGUGCCUAUAAAAAGAAAGAGUGCGACAAGAGAAUGGUAAUGAGUAACUUAAGUGAUACUACGAAGGAUAGCGAUGCUAUACUAGAUUAGAGGCUAAGAUGUUGGAAAUGGAGUUGUUCGUUAAUGAUAUUGUGACUUAUAAGUAGCAAAAGAGAAAGGAUAGAAAAUCUUCUAUAGUAGAAUAUGAGGAAAUUAAAUGGUAAGUAAAGGAAGGGAAAGGAGUACGACAAGAUAGACAACAAGUGAGUUUUAGUACAAAUAAGAUAUGUAAAGCAGAAUGAACCAGGAGAAGGAAAGACUAUGACUAAGAUUAGAUGUACUUUGUACAAGUUAUACAAGAAUAGUUAUGCGAUCUAGGCAUAUUUGUAUGUUAAAAAUAAGACCAAGUGAGUACUUGAUAAGAAGAGUAAGGAUCCAGUAAUAACAAUAUGGUCACGAUAUUUUGGAUACAUUAAGGAAAGGUGUAAGAUGGUUUCAGCCAAGUACUGAGAUAGGAUUAAUACUAAGGGCAAAUAGGACAUGGCCAUAGUUGAGCCCCGAUACCAUUGAAAUGUAUGAGAGAAGAUUGCAAGGUAAAUCAUAGAGACUAGUGAAAUGGUACUAAGGUAUUUCCCGGGCUAAUUUCAGCACCUUCACAUAUUCGUGUAAAGAUUGCAACAUAAUGUGUGACAGGAAAAUUAGAAACAAAAUCUGAGUAAAGGGGCAAUAGAAUAUGCCUAAAGUGUUACAAGUUGGGUUAAGAGAAAUUGUGAAAUAGCUUAAACGAAACGAGCAGGACGAGCCAGUUAUUGGAAGAUAGUGAAUUUAUAUGUAAAAUCAAGGACUCUUUCGGAGUUAUACCAAUUGAUAAUAGACAGAGCACAGAGCGGCUAUGUUAAGUUAUACAAUGAGGGAACUCCAGCGCUACUUGGUAGCCAACUCUAUUGAUCGAGAUUAAGAGCUAAAAGCAAAAUGACAGUUAAAAAGAAAGUUGAGAAAUGAUACUUGAGGCUGAAGAUUCCAGACUAUAGACUGGAACAGCAGGGCAAUGUAAGGUUAUUAAAGUAAAAUAAUGUUACACCUUGGAAAAUCUCAUUUUAUUCGUAGAGUCUGCGAAGGGUCUACUAGUUACCGGAGGCAUGAAAUACUCCAAGGAUUGUAAAGUCUAAUAAAUCGAUGAGGGACGUCUGUGCGGUAUAAAAUCUUAUGUAAAGAUUAAGAGGUGAGACGAAUUGAAUGAUACAUCUUAAGGGAGGAACUUAAAGAAGAAGAAGGAGUCGAGGUAUGACUAAGUGCACUAGAAAGAGUAACACUUCAGUAGAAGAGCUCGCGAUACAACUGACAACCGACUGCGAAAUAAAGAGGAGAGUAAAGACAACGACGUGGAAUAAUUACCUCGAGAAGCAACAGAGGGAGGAAAUAUUACGGGAAUGGUUACAUACAGAUCUGAAAUGCAUUAUAAUAGAUUGAAGGAAAUAGACCAACGAAAGAGUCAUGUGAAGAGUAUAAUUCAGUAAAAGAACGCUUAAGGAAAUAUGAAGCAUACGACCAUGGCUGCUUUCGGCCAUGGCAGCCCUCUAUAAAAAAAAAAUUAAGCGUCAAAGAUGUUCUACACGUUCAAGGAGGCGGCAACCUUGGUAUUUAAAUUAAGAAAGAAGAAGAAGUGCAAUUGGUGCAAGUGAGUGUAGAAUUUGCUCCGGUUAAAUUAAGGUAAGAUUUUCUCAUUUCAUGGUAUAAUUGGAUUAAUGGUGUUAUAAUGGAAAGAUUAAAAUUGCAUUAGGUGAAAUUGGAAGUAAGAAUUGCAUGAAUUCGUUGAUAUUAAGAGUUGUGGAUGUUGUAUGUAAUUGUUGAGAUUGAGGGAAUAAAAGUGUGAUUAUGUGCAUGUGUUGUUGUUCGUGUUGUUGUCGUGUUGCCGUUUAUGUGGCUUCUAAAUUUGGAAUAAAGAAAUGUAUAAUGUAUCGUAUAUAAAGCGUAUGUUGGUCUGUUUGGUGUAUAAUCUUAAAUGUUAAUGAUUUGGAUUGGAAAAGGAUUAAGAAAGGUUACUGGGUUGUUUGAGUUAUUUAUGGGCUGGAUUUAAUUAUUUUUUUGCAUGAAAGCCACCAAACCAAGUUUGGCAGUAUUUUAUUAAAAAUAAUAAGUUUUCUGUACACAAGUGUAGGAAAGAAAAGAAAAGAAAGCCAAAUGAAACUAUCCUAAAAAGAAACAAAAAUGCUGAAGUAUGAACUACAUCCAAAAUAGUAUGGAGCCUAAUCUGCUGCAGAUCCUCUAGCCUUGCCUUGAUACCAUUUCAGACACCUACAAGCUCUCACCAGGUGCUAUGGUUCAAAGUCAAAAUAAAUACAUAUUCAGGCUUCCAGGAUGGAGUAGAAAUCCUCCAUGUUCCUUCAGAUGUAGCUGCUAUCUCCUUGCCUUAAUGUUAACCAUUGUUUGCCAUUGUCUCAGAUUGCCUGAUUGAAACAAUCUUUAGAAGUCAUACAAGAGAAUGAGCUUGAAGAAGCUAAUACCACUCUUGUACUCCUGCCAAAGAUAGUGUCAUACAGGUCCAUAUGCUAUUCAUGGCAUGUUGAGAUGCAAACUUGUUGCUGCUGCUGCUCUCCAGAUUGUUAUUAAUCUCCAGGUACACAUAGUCGGUUUGGUGACUCUUCAGCAUAGGACUCCUAUUCGUCUGUCUUGGAGAACUCCGUUGUUCCGGAGUUUAGACUUUUGGUACAGAUCUUAUGAUGUAUAUAUAUGUUUAUCCAGGGGUACGACGGAGCCCUGUCCCGUUAUAUUUCACCAUCGAUACUCUUAGAGGUCUGUAGACAUAUGUGUGGGUUGUGUAUAAGUUUUGUUCAGCUGUGUCUAUACGAUGUGCUAUGAUACGAUGUUCGUCUGUAGUGGCAGCCUUGUCGGCUUGCAUAUGAUAUUGAUGUGUCGUGGCAGCCUUGUCGGCUUGCGUAUCAUUUUAUGAUUUGAUUAAUUGUGACUCCUCAGGAGACAGUUUAUCUGGAUAUAUAUACU